GUUGCUUAACAGUACUACUGAAGCUUCUCUGUUUUGCAGGAAUAUGUUACGCUGGGUAUUUCUGUGAUGUUGGAUCCACURAGCCAAAUCAUAAGCGCUGCCCCCCUGGCUCCUACUGCCCUGAAGGCUCUGAAUCCCCAGUCCCGUGCAGCCCAGGAAGCUUCAACUCUGACAGUGGAAAAUGGCAGUCAACGGACUGUCAGCUCUGCCCAGCUGGAUACUUCUGCAGUGGUUUUGGAGCACAUACUCCUGAGCUGUGCCCUCGUGGGUACUUCUGUCUGCCAGGUACCAACUUCAGUACAGAGCAUCCGUGUCCAAAAGGUACCUUUGGCCCCAGGGCUGGUGCCACUAGUGAGUCGGACUGUGAGCCCUGCCCAGCAGGCAUGUAUUGCUCAGCAGCAGGUCUAUCACAGCCUUCUGGGUUUUGCCACUCAGGUUAUCAUUGCACCAAGGGAGCCRUCAGCCCAGCCCCCUUCGAACACAGGGUGGAAUCUGCUGUCCUUGGUCUGCCUGGGAAUGACAUCUGUCCUGUGGGGCAUUUCUGCCCCACUGGUACAGGGUAUCCCAUCCCCUGUCCUCCUGGAUCCUUCUCUACUUCCCUGGGCCUGGAGGCAGAGGAACAGUGCCAGCCCUGUCCAGCUGGGCGGUAUUGCAGUGAGGCAGGACUGUCCGAUCUGGCGCAGACAUCGCUGUGUAAUGCAGGAUUUGUUUGUCUGGAAGGAAACUCUGCUCCCUGCCCUUCUGACAGAAUUCAUGGAUACAGAUGUCCCAGUGGCUUCUACUGUCCUGCUGGCACUGGGCUAGAACUGCCCUGUGAGCCUGGCACGUUCAGCCCUAUGCCUGGGGCGAGUGUCUGCCUCCCUUGCCCAGCUGGUAUGACCUGCAGCAAUGCUGCCACUGUGAAGCCACUCCGUUGCCCCAGAGGUGAGGAAUACAUGUGUGCAGCAAAGCCCCUAACUCAGGAUGGGAGGUGUGGUGGAUA
rnacentral:lncRNA from 1 species